CCCGUUGGUCUUACUCGUCCCGCUGCGCGCCUGGGUGCGUCCCCGCCCGCACGUAAUACACAACCCAUGGCGACGAGGGCGGGACCGACGCAAGUGGCUUCCCGGGACCGUGGCGGAUGCUGACAACAAGCGCGGCAGGCAACCUGGCCAGGGCGGCGGAACCUCGAGGAAACGGCAACAUGUCAAAGUUAUUCCCAGCACGCAGAUACGUCUACCCCAUGCCAGUCAUCCCAGCCAGCCAUUCCAGUGCAUCUGCCGUAUGCGGUCCCCCAGACAGUCCCGGCGGGUAUGCCCGGGAGCACGACGGGUGUGCACGUGCGGGACCAGCCCAUGGAGGGAGACCGUGGAGGGAGACCGUGACCAACCAUGGAGGGAGCGAAUGGGUCAACGAGAGUAUCUUCAAAUAAAUCCUGAGGAUGUGGGAACCGUUCAGCCCACGACCCCCACACCAGCACGGCCCCAAUGCCAGACACCCGUUCAGCCCACGUCACCCGAGCCCCCUGCCGUACCACGUAGAAGUUCACGACAGCGGCACCAACGUGUUCGUUACGAGUCGGAGGACUUUCGCAAAGGAACUUAAUUUGUGGGGGAAGGAAUGUGAUAGCACCGACAGGCGUCGUUCAGUGUUCGUUAUCAGACGCGGAUAAGCAACCGCCAGCGUGUAUAAGAAGCACGCGCUGUUCCGAAUAAAGCAUUCUCUGUUUCGGA